rnacentral:lncRNA from 1 species
GAUCUUAACGUAAGAACGCAUUUUCACUAAGAUAUAUAUAUAUAUAUAUAUAUAUAUAUAAUAUAGCGAACACAGAAAACCAAGAGAAAGAGCAUUCACAGCCAGAUCAGACCCAUGUCCGCUGCAUUCGGUACGUGUCGAACACUUCAGCAGUUAUAAUUAGUGUUUCUUAAUUACUGACGAUUAAUUGUGUGUGUCAGAGCUGGGCUUUGAUCUUUGUAAGAUGUUAGAGGACGUGUCCGUCUGUGUGGAUGAUCUGCCGACGCCGACGCCCCUCUCCCCGCCCCCGACCCCAGUGGAGGCGGCGCUUCAGCGGCCUCGGCCAGUGAGAUUCAGCGACCUGCCCACAGAAGACACGCCCACUCUACAGCACGUCACUAAAUACAGGCCACAGCGGACGAAGAAAGCCAAACCCAACAGAGCCGCUAGAUUCUCAACUGAGCGGCUUCUUCAUCAAGCAUCGCUCUUCUGCUAAAGCCACGCCCACCAGCCCCACACCUGCCGCCGUGGCAACAGCAGAAUCAGACACCCCUCCCCCUGAGCCGGCCGUGACCUCGAGUGACCCCACACCUGUAGCAGCACCUGUAGCAGCUGAGGUCAAAGGGCACGUUCAGGAGGUUGGUCAAACACGGCAGUCCUCUGACGGGGCGUCACUUGGGCGUACAGGUGCUGGGCGACGACAUGCUGGCCGAGAUAUGAGCCAAACAGAGAAACACAAGAAGGUGAGGCAUAAAUGUUAUAAACAUAUAUAUAUAAUUUUACAGGCUCGAGGUUUCAGAGCAGUUCACAAUUAAUGAAUAUUGCACAUUUAUGCCAAGCAAUUGCUUAUGAUUUACUGUUGAUGAACUAUGACCCAUGUUUACUAUUUUUUUAUUUAUUGUAAUAUGUUAUUGAUGGUUUAUCUGAUACAUCUGUUUGAAUGACCAGCUAAUUAAAACUAAAACCAUAAAUUAAUUUCAUUACUUGACGUUAAAAUAAACAUGAACUGAAAUAAAAUAUUUUUUCAAAUAUAUUUAUUUUAUUUAAUGUAUUUACGAUUUUGGUAUAGUUUGACUUGAAGUACUAAAAUAACUAAACCUAAAACUGAGAAAAGAAGAAAUAAAAGAAAUACAGAAAUUAAAAAAAUAAAUGACAAAAACAUGAAAAUUAAACUUAAAAAGUACAAAAAAUGUAAUUGAUUUAAAUUCUCACAUUAUGCAUGAAAUCUUUGUUUUCUGUAUCUGCUAUUUAAUUCAGCGUGAAAAUUAAACUUAAAAAAGUACAAAAAAAUAGUAAUUGAUUUAAAUUCUCACAUUAUGCAUGAAAUCUUUGUUUUCUGUAUCUGCUAUUUAAUUCAGCGUAAACUCUUGUAGCUUCUCUCUGCCUGUCACAGAACAUUAUCUGACACGUUUGAACAUGCUUAGAAUGAAUAUAAUCUGAGAUACAUGAUUUAUUUCUGAGAUUGUGUUUGUUUGUUCUGUAUUGUUCAGUAAAAAGGUCUUAAACAUGAUUUUUGAUGUCACUGACAUGAGACAUCAGUGAUUGUUCUGUCUGCGAGCACUGAUGAUGAUGAUGAUGAUGAUGAUGAUGUGUCCCUCACAGGCAGGUGUUUCUCCAGCUGCAGCAGCCACUGCUGAUCCUCCUGAUGAAGGUGCGUCGCUGUCUGUCACUCCGUGUGUGUAUCUGAUUAUGGGUGUGUGUGUGUGUGUGUGUUUGAGAGACAGAGAGAGAGAGUGUGUGUGUGUGUGUGUGUGAGUCUGAUAUAAUUUACUGUCACGUGACUCCAGCUGUGUUAUGACGGAGUUAAAUAAAUGAUUAGAUAUGUAUAAUGUGUGAUUGAGCAGAGCGAGAUCAUGGACACAUGACACCAGCGGAGCAGAAAGACACUCAAGACGAGCCUGCAGCCAACAAACUCAAACUCACACUCCAGGACCGCCCCCGAGGAUGACGCCACUGACCGCCAGCGCUCAAAGUCCCUCCCCUCAGCCGCUCCGGCCAAUCACGUCUCCUGAUCGCUCCUGGACCUCGCAGUGGCUCCUGCUUCAGAAAGCACAGUUCAAUAAUCAUUUCUUGUUAAACUACAGUAUAUAUACAGUUUACAGCUUAUGAGCAAUGUUGAGUGCUUCUCAACUAGGGGGCCUCAAAAACUCUAACAUGACUUAAAAUUAUUUGCUAAAUAAUCAAUAUGUAAUUUCUCCUCCUCCCAGUGUUAUUACAGCAUCCCUGAGAUUUUGUUGUAGUCUUUUAAAAAUGUUUUUUAAUAUAUUGUCUUGUUUUUCAUAUUUAUUUUAGUUAAAGUUUUAGUGUUUUUUUUUAAUAUGUCUAAAUAGUUUUAAGUUUUUGUUAUUUCAGUACAGCAACACUUUACUUUCAUUUUAUUUCAUAUUUACGGUCAAAAAUUUGCAGCUGUAGUUGCUAGAGUUAAACCGUAAAAAAUACAGUAGCAACAUUUCAUUAACUGAUCCAGUGUUAAUAUACCAACCUACUAAAGUGUAUAUGUAUGUAUGUAUGUAUGUAUGUAAUAAUCGUUUAAAUAUAUUAAUUCCAUUCUGACACAUAAAUAUAAAUCUGUGCCAUAAUUCUCUAUAAACGUUAGAGCCUUCUCCAGUAAUAAGCAAAGAUGAUUCUGAUUGGUUCAUCCUGAGCAGCGCUGAGAAAAGUAACAGACACACGUGACAGCCGUCAACGCGCUAUAGGCAGCUGAAUGAAUUUAGAAUCGCAUACUUCGCCUUUAAGCAUUCUAUUUAAAGUAUUGUGGUAGUAUAAUAUUCAAAUUGAGCCUAGAAUUAUUAUUUAUUUUAGACCGUCAAUCGAGCGCUUCCGGGCCGCGAAGCCCCGCCCACUCC